rnacentral:rRNA from 1 species
CCUACGGGAGGCAGCAGUAGGGAAUAUUGCUCAAUGGGGGAAACCCUGAAGCAGCAACGCCGCGUGGAGGAUGAAGGUUUUCGGAUUGUAAACUCCUUUUGUUAGAGAAGAUAAUGACGGUAUCUAACGAAUAAGCACCGGCUCACUCCGUGCCAGCAGCCGCGGUAAUACGGAGGGGGCAAGCGUUACUCGGAAUCACUGGGCUUAAAGCGCGCGUAGGCGGGAUAGCAAGGCAGAUGUGAAAUCCUAUGGCUUAACCAUAGAACUGCAUUUGAAACUGUUAUUCUAGAGUAUGGGAGAGGUAGGUGGAAUUCUUGGUGUAGGGGUAAAAUCCGUAGAGAUCAAGAGGAAUACUCAUUGCGAAGGCGACCUGCUAGAACAUAACUGACGCUGAUGCGCGAAAGCGUGGGGAGCAAACAGGAUUAGAUACCCCAGUAGUC